UCAGAUUGAACGCUGGCGGCAGGCUUAACACAUGCAAGUCGAGCGGGGGAAGGUAGCUUGCUACCGGACCUAGCGGCGGACGGGUGAGUAAUGCUUAGGAAUCUGCCUAUUAGUGGGGGACAACAUCUCGAAAGGGAUGCUAAUACCGCAUACGUCCUACGGGAGAAAGCAGGGGAUCUUCGGACCUUGCGCUAAUAGAUGAGCCUAAGUCGGAUUAGCUAGUUGGUGGGGUAAAGGCCUACCAAGGCGACGAUCUGUAGCGGGUCUGAGAGGAUGAUCCGCCACACUGGGACUGAGACACGGCCCAGACUCCUACGGGAGGCAGCAGUGGGGAAUAUUGGACAAUGGGGGGAACCCUGAUCCAGCCAUGCCGCGUGUGUGAAGAAGGCCUUAUGGUUGUAAAGCACUUUAAGCGAGGAGGAGGCUACUUUAGUUAAUACCUAGAGAUAGUGGACGUUACUCGCAGAAUAAGCACCGGCUAACUCUGUGCCAGCAGCCGCGGUAAUACAGAGGGUGCGAGCGUUAAUCGGAUUUACUGGGCGUAAAGCGUGCGUAGGCGGCUUAUUAAGUCGGAUGUGAAAUCCCCGAGCUUAACUUGGGAAUUGCAUUCGAUACUGGUGAGCUAGAGUAUGGGAGAGGAUGGUAGAAUUCCAGGUGUAGCGGUGAAAUGCGUAGAGAUCUGGAGGAAUACCGAUGGCGGAAGGCA
rnacentral:rRNA from 1 species